rnacentral:rRNA from 1 species
CGCGGUGAAUACGUUCCCGGGUCUUGUACACACCGCCCGUCACACCACGAGAGUUUGUAACACCCGAAGCCGGUGAGGUAACCUUUUAGGAGCCAGCCGUCUAAGGUGGGAUAGAUAAUUGGGGUGAAGUCGUAACAAGGUAGCCGUAUCGGAAGGUGCGGCUGGAUCACCUCCUUU